UAGCCCAUUUGGGACCCAAUUUAAACAAGUCUUUCUCCACACUUCUAAACACUCUUCAUGCAUCUCUAGCAUUUGUAAUCAAUCAAAUUUAUUGUAUACUAACAUAUUCUAAACCCAAAAAACACUAGAUAAGUCAUUUAGUGGUUCAACGCAAUGUUUUCGAAUUCUUAGCCCAUUUGGGACGCAAUUUCAACAAGUCUUUCUCCAUACUUCAAAACACUCUUCAUGCAUCUCUAGAACUUGUAAUCAAUCAAAUUCAUUGUAUUCUAACAUAUUUUAAACCCAAACAACAAUAGAUAAGUCAUUUAGUUGUUUAACGCAAUGUUUCCGAGUUCUUAGCCCAUUUGGGACCCAAUUUAAACAAGUCUUUCUCCACACUUCUAAACACUCUUCUUGCAUCUCUAGCACUUGUAAUCAAUCAAAUUUAUUGUAUUCUAACAUAUUCUAAACCCAAACAACACUUGAUAAGUCAUUUAGUGGUUCAACGCAAUGUUUCCAAGUUCUUAGCCCAUAUGGGACCCAAUUUCAACAAGUCUUUCUCCAUACUUCAAAAAACUCUUCAUGCAUCUCUAGAACUUGUAAUCAAUAAAAUUCAUUGUAUACUAAUAUAUUCUAACC
rnacentral:lncRNA from 1 species